rnacentral:rRNA from 1 species
CAGCAGUGGGGAAUAUUGGACAAUGGGGGAAACCCUGAUCCAGCCAUGCCGCGUGUGUGAAGAAGGCCUUCGGGUUGUAAAGCACUUUCAGUGGGGAGGAAAGGUUGUUGGUUAAUACCUAACAGCUGUGACGUUACCCACAGAAGAAGCACCGGCUAACUCCGUGCCAGCAGCCGCGGUAAUACGGAGGGUGCAAGCGUUAAUCGGAAUUACUGGGCGUAAAGCGUGCGCAGGCGGUCUGUUAAGCGAGAUGUGAAAGCCCCGGGCUCAACCUGGGAACUGCAUUUCGAACUAGCAGACUAGAGUCUUGUAGAGGGGGUAGAAUUCCAGGUGUAGCGGUGAAAUGCGUAGAGAUCUGGAGGAAUACCGGUAGCGAAGGCGGCCCCCUCGGACAAAGACUGACGCUCAGGCACGAAAGCGUGGGGAGCAAACAGGAUUAGAUACCCUCGGUAG